AGAUAGUCCCGGGAAACCGGGUAAAGGUCGGAUUCUUUCCGGAGAGUCCCGCUCCUUCAGGUGAACGAUCUCGGUUGUUUCUCUGAAGGCAUGAUCACCCCGUCCGAUGCGGAAGUUCGUGCUUCCGUCGAACGCGAAAGUCGGACGGCGGCCAUGAGUCGCAACGCAAAGCCGCGGCAAGUGGAGUUAGCGAGAAGAGACUAGGCUUUGGUUUCUUCAAGUGAAGCGGUCACCAAUCAGGUGUGGUAGUUACCGUAAAAAAUCCGGAUUGAUUCGAGGCCCCGAGCGCUGACAUGGGCGCAGAGGCCAGUACUCUUCGGAGUACAGGUUUCAAACGAGGCCUUGAGUGAGAUCGUGAAAGUUCGCCGUCGGGCGAAUGGAAGCGAAAAGUCGACCCCAAGCUGAAAAGCGAAGGGUCGAGUUGUUGAAAAAUGACCUGAGAGCAUGAGGCGAGACCCGUAGCGCAGGGCAAAACUUCCACGGGCAACUGUGGGACGGCUCUGUAAAAAAGGAGAGGGAGUUCAUGAACAGCAACUCCCACUUCCAGUGGAUCGAAGGCACGCCGCGAGGCGCCCCGACGAUUCGCCGAGAAGCCUCUGUUCGAAAUCAUCGGGAGUGAUCCAGAUGACGGUCCUGCCAUGAGACCGCAACGAGAGCAUGUCGCAUCGAAUGGACUCGGGGAGUCGGCAGCUUGCCCCACGGAUGAGCGCCUAAUGCCGGCAUUCGGGAACGAGCGCGUGGCGAACGCC
rnacentral:sRNA from 12 species